GGGUGACCUCAGAUCAGGUAGGGAUACCCGCUGAACU
rnacentral:rRNA from 1 species